rnacentral:rRNA from 1 species
GAGACCCCUACUUYUAAUUGCUCUAGCAGAGAUCGCAAGGUCUUUGCGGCUAGUUAGAAGGACUGCCGCCGCUAAGGCGGAGGAAGGAAGGGGCCACGGCAGGUCAGUAUGCCCCGAAACUCCCGGGCCACACGCGGGCUGCAAUGGUAAGGACAAUGGGUCCCAACCUCGAAAGAGUGAGGCAAUCCUCAAACCUUACCCCAGUUGUGACUGAGGGCUGCAACCCGCCCUCACGAAUCUGGAAUCCCUAGUAACCGCGUGUCACCAUCGCGCGGUGAAUAC